AUUGAACGCUGGCGGCAUGCCUUACACAUGCAAGUCGAACGGUAACAGGUCUACGGAUGCAGACGAGUGGCGAACGGGUGAGUAAUACAUCGGAACGUGCCCGAUCGUGGGGGAUAACGAAGCGAAAGCUUUGCUAAUACCGCAUAAGAUCUACGGAUGAAAGCAGGGGACCGCAAGGCCUUGCGCGAACGGAGCGGCCGAUGGCAGAUUAGGUAGUUGGUGGGAUAAAAGCUUACCAAGCCGACGAUCUGUAGCUGGUCUGAGAGGACGACCAGCCACACUGGGACUGAGCCACGGCCCAGACUCCUACGGGAGGCAGCAGUGGGGAAUUUUGGACAAUGGGCGAAAGCCUGAUCCAGCCAUGCCGCGUGCAGGAUGAAGGCCUUCGGGUUGUAAACUGCUUUUGUACGGAACGAAAAGACUCUUUCUAAUAAAGAGGGUCCAUGACGGUACCGUAAGAAUAAGCACCGGCUAACUACGUGCCAGCCGCCGCCGUAA
rnacentral:rRNA from 1 species